UGAGCUUCCAAACAGCAGAUGGCGCUGUCUUAGAUCUGCUGUGCUGAAUCUGAGGCGGCUCCGGUCUGUCCUUUACAUGAUGAGGUUUAUCUCUGUGUUUAACGGCUCUGACUCUCCCCCAGGACAAGACGAGGAGGAAAUGUCAAAAAGAAAAGAACAGCCUCUGGCUCUGAGCCUCCAGAGGGCAGCACUGAGCCUCCAGAGGGCAGCACUGAGCCACAGCUCUAUGGGACAAAACGCAGAUCCACAGCCUCAGUGUCCGCUCUGUCCAUGAAGAGUGACUGGUCUAAAGGCCACGUUCCAAACUUCAGUCCUGAACCUGCUCCAGACUCACGAAGCAGAUCUACAGCCUCAGUGUCCGCUCUGUCCAUGAAGAGUGACUGGUCUAAAGGCCACGUUCCAAACUUCAGUCCUGAACCUGCUCCAGACUCACGAAGCAGAUCCACAGUGUCCGCUCUGUCCAUGAAGAGUGACUGGUCUAAAGGCCACGUUCCAAACUUCAGUCCUGAACCUUCUCCAGACUCACGAAGCAGAUCUACAGCCUCAGUGUCCGCUCUGUCCAUGAAGAGUGACAGGUCUAAAGAGUUCCCUCCAGAGUUCAGUGGUGAACCUGCUCCAGACUCACAAGAAACAGAGUCAGAGCAGGACGCCUGGCCUCAGUGUGGAGACACAGGCAACAGUCCUGAUCAGUGGGUUCAAGGCCCUGCACCAGGUGAGUCUGCUCAGUCUGAGACUCAUGAACUACAGCAGGGAAUAAGAGACCUGUUCAUCAACAUUAACAGGUG
rnacentral:lncRNA from 1 species